ACACAUGCAAGUCGAACGAGCGAGAGAGAGCUUGCUUUCUCGAGCGAGUGGCGAACGGGUGAGUAACGCGUGAGGAACCUGCCUCAAAGAGGGGGACAACAGUUGGAAACGACUGCUAAUACCGCAUAAGCCCACGGCUCGGCAUCGAGCAGAGGGAAAAGGAGCAAUCCGCUUUGAGAUGGCCUCGCGUCCGAUUAGCUAGUUGGUGAGGUAACGGCCCACCAAGGCGACGAUCGGUAGCCGGACUGAGAGGUUGAACGGCCACAUUGGGACUGAGACACGGCCCAGACUCCUACGGGAGGCAGCAGUGGGGAAUAUUGCACAAUGGGGGAAACCCUGAUGCAGCGACGCCGCGUGGAGGAAGAAGGUCUUCGGAUUGUAAACUCCUGUUGUUGGGGAAGAUAAUGACGGUACCCAACAAGGAAGUGACGGCUAACUACGUGCCAGCAGCCGCGGUAAAACGUAGGUCACAAGCGUUGUCCGGAAUUACUGGGUGUAAAGGGAGCGCAGGCGGGAAGACAAGUUGGAAGUGAAAUCUAUGGGCUCAACCCAUAAACUGCUUUCAAAACUGUUUUUCUUGAGUAGUGCAGAGGUAGGCGGAAUUCCCGGUGUAGCGGUGGAAUGCGUAGAUAUCGGGAGGAACACCAGUGGCGAAGGCGGCCUACUGGGCACCAACUGACGCUGAGGCUCGAAAGUGUGGGUAGCAAACAGGAUUAGAUACCCUGGUAGUCCACACCGUAAACGAUGAUUACUAGGUGUUGGAGGAUUGACCCCUUCAGUGCCGCAGUUAACACAAUAAGUAAUCCACCUGGGG
rnacentral:rRNA from 1 species